rnacentral:rRNA from 1 species
UACGGAAGGGGCAAGCGUUGUUCGGAAUCAUUGGGCGUAAAGGGCGUGUAGGUGGUUCUGUAUGUCUACCGUGAAAGCGUACGGCUCAACCGUAUUUAGUCGGUAGAAACUGCAGGACUUGAGGCUGGGAGGGGCUGGUGGAAUUCCCCGUGUAGCGGUGAAAUGCGUAGAGAGUGGGGGAGAACACUCGUGGCGAAGGCGGCCAGCUAGACCAGUUCUGACACUGAGGCGCGAUAGCGUGGGAGCAAACAGG